ACACACUUCUUUGGAAAAGCCUACGAGCUAUCCCCUUAAUUUCUGAUCCCUUACAAUCUUUCUCUGUUGUCUCCCAUCUACUGUACUUCCUCCUCCCAAACACCCCUCCCAUAUUUAGGUACAUCCACUUCCCUUUUGUGUAUUCGGGCAGGGCCAUCUUCACUUACUGUUUUGUUAGAAUGAAAUGUUUGCUUGUUUACAUACUGUACAGCGCUUUUGAAUAUGUUGGCGCUAUAUAACUUAUUGUGAUUUGUGCACCUUUAUUAAGUCACCAAAAAGGAUGAGCUGUGUCUUUUUUUUUCUUUCUUUUUUUGUGACGGAAUACAUGCAUCGAACUAUGGCUUAUUAUUUACAUUUUAUUACUCACUUUGGCAGAAUACACAUAGUUAAACUUCUCUGUUGCUCAUAUAAAUUGCAAGAAAUCAGCAUGUUUUACAACUUGUAGCAAAAUGCACGCACACACACAACACAACGGUUGAGUAGGUGAUUUUUGUGCAAAAUCAAUGAAAAAAAGUGGGACUCUGAGCUCCUAUCCAGCUCCUUGCCACCCAGUCGAUCCCUAGUUGGAGGUACCAGUUUCUUGGAAGGGUCCUGUGUUUUUCAAACCUAGAAGUACCCCUUACCCACAUGGAAGAAUGCAGUGUUCUUUCAAUAACCAUUUUCAACAAGGAUUGCACUUUAAAACCAUUUGAACCUUUCUGUGUGUAUAUACCUAGCUGGACAAACUAAAUGCUUUAAAAAUGCUGGCUUUAAAAUAAAUAAGUAAAUACUGCUAUGGUCUUAUAGUGCCUAUGUUAAUGCACAAGGCUAAUAUGAUAUAAUACAAUAUUUUGCAUAUAUUAGCUGUAGAUAACUAUAUGGCAUGGUACUCGGCUAACAGGUGCAGGCACAGAGGCGUAACUAGUAACCACUGGGCCACGGUGCAAAAAUUGAUCCAUAUGUCUACCCCCAUCCCAUGAAACACAGACAUACGACUUGACUGACUACUUACUAAUGAAACAUGACUCAGGCUGUGAAGCUAUUGAAGGCAUGUGCUGUUUUAACCUAUCUGACCAUGGCACUAGUAUCCAUAAACAUAUAAAAGAUUUACAUGACUUAGUACAGGAUAUCAAAUAGGAUACUGGCUUCUUUGGGGAUUGGGAUUUUACAUUUGGGCUAGGAACAUGGUUGACUUUACUAACUAAGAAGAUUUUGUACUUUUUGCUAUUAGCUGUAUUUGUUAUUAUGGACAUUUUUCUAACCUUUAGAUUUUUCUCAUAUCUAUUAAGCUCUCUAUGUAAAAACAAACCUACUGUUGGUCGUACCUUAACUUACAUUCCAGCUCCGACUUCGGAAGGUUUUUACGAUGUUACCUCGUCUAACAAAUGAAGGAACUCUCCUCAGCUGAUUCUGGUGGUCUCUCAGUCCAAGGGAACCGUGAGGAAGAUAUGUCAAAGUCCCACAGGCUUUGGCUAGCAGGCCUGGAAAUACCUUGGACAUAUGGGUGACCCUUAUAUCAAAAGAUGGGAUUGUGAUAGAAUUUAUCUUAAUUCCAAGGCUCAAGCUUAUAGGUGUCAUAAUGAUAUCCUAUAUUAAAAUUGGCUAACUUGGACUCAGGAAAUGCUUGAUGCUUAAAGCAACACUAAAGACCAUAAAUGUCUAGUUCCGGGAGCAGAUAGCCCCACCUGAGCUGUCUCUUCCCAAAUCAUUAUGUUCUUUCUCUGAACUUAUUUGUUAUAUGUACAUGACGUUCAUCCCUAUGUCUCAUCUGUACUCCUUUCACUCCCUUCCUACUACUGUCCUAUGAGUAUUUGUACACAAGCACUUACUUUUUAAUGUAUAAAAACCCAAAUUAAUAAAUGAGAGGCUUGUUUUGAAUAA